UCCCGCAUACUGCUAGGAUUAGGUGGUAGAGCGUCCGACCGGUGUGCGGAAGGUCAUAGGUUCGACUCCUGUUGGGGGAA